rnacentral:lncRNA from 1 species
GGAACGGGCCAAGUUUGGCCAAAACCAAGUUGGCGAGCAAAAAAUUGGGGAGCAUAUAUUUCUACCCUAGCUUUGGCAUUGGUCCCAGUCAAAAUAUCAUGGAACAACUCCCUCCCGAUCAAAAACUGAAUCCAAAUGAUCAAGGAAGUGUUCGCACUAUCCAGAGUGGAUGGAGGUUGCACAUAAUUUGGAUACAAAAAAGGAGAAAAAGGAAAGAAGGAAGGAUUGAAUCCAAAGUAUAAAAGAAUGAAAAAAUGUCCCUUCUGGACAUAUUUACAGGAGUCAGGGGAUCAAUGGCUAGCCCAUAGCAGCUAGCAGAAGGACUAGAAAAAGAUGGAGCACCAAGCGAUGGAAAAUAGACUCUCAACCAUAUUUGAGUGAACCAAAGAGGCCCUCUACCAGUGGGAGAUGCACCAUUCUUCAAUUGGGAUUGAAGAGAAGCCAUGCCUCUAUAAAGGGUAGCUAAAAAGAAAGAAAACAAAUUCAGAGGCCUACCACGCGCCAAUUCGUGCACUAUGGGUAAAUAGCUCAUGGAGGGCUUUAUGCUUGGUACACACAAAAUGUAUUUACAAAGCCAACUCAGAAGAAAGGCCACUCGCUCAGUAUGGGAAGGUUCAGCGCUUGAAUUGUUAUGAAAGGUUUGCAGGCUUGAGUAAGAUUCGGUGAGGCCUCUAUCAAAUUUUGGGGCGACACUAGAAAUCAAAAUACUAGGAAAAAUGGUAUCACCCAAAGGUGACAGAUUUACUAGAGCCCCAACAUCCCUUAAGGUAAUGGAC